CAAAAUCUUUUUUUCUUGUGCCCUUUCUUGUGGCCGGGGUACUACUUUCUCAGAGCUGCCAGCUGUUGCGUGAUAAUGGAAGCCUGUUUGCAGGACAGAGGACUGGCCCCGGCCUUGUACAGAUGCUUUGAAUUUACAGAGCUUUCCCUGCGAGGGAGAGCGGGCUAAACCUGCCUGUAUUUUUGUGGGGAUUAGUCGUCAGAUGGAAGCCCUUCGAGGAGGUCCCCGCCUCCCUGUUUUGUGCUGCGGCGCUGGGAAAGUGACCCCCACCUGUCUCCUGGUCCUCAGAGAUCCCUGCCAACAUAGCCCCAGGAUGAGACAGGGGCACAAUAGAACUAGACUUUACUCAACAAUGUUGAAACAUUUUCUGAUAUGGUGAAAUUAGUUACCGGAGAGUAAAAAACAGAUUCAUGUUUUCAAUACAUUUUAUUAGCGGAUUGGAUAGUCCUAGCAAUAUUAAGAAAUAUAUAUAUUUUUUAUCUUCAAGACAUGUCAUCAUUAGUAAGAUAUUUAAAAUUCCAAAGGCAUGGUGCUUACAGCCAUUAUUUAAUGCAGCAUCUAUUCUGAUCCACAUAAGUACCACUUGAUUUUACACAUUUAAAUGAAAGGUCUUUCCAGUACAAAAUGGCUCUGUGAAGAUGUCAUGACUGAUGAUAGGGAGCCAUCUACUGGCGAGAGAGGGGAUGAACUGCCCCUGAGCAACGACCUGGACAACUCCUUAAACAAAAUGGCUCUGUGAAGAUGUCAUACCUGACGAUAUGGAGCCAUCUACUGGCGAGAGAGAGGAUGAAAUGCCCCUGAGCAACGACCUGGACAGCUUCUGACAACACCUUAAACGAAAUGCUACAUGCUAUCAAUAGAUUUAAAACGUCAUAAAACCCAAAUAACCAUUUCAUUUUCAAAUAAGUUUUUCUUUUAGAGUUGUCAGUGUGUGAAUAAAAAAAUCAUUUUGCAUACA